GCCCUGAUAGGUCAGUGGUGGCACAGGGGCAUUUAAUAAGAUAAAAGGGUGCCAGGCAACCGUAUCCAAGAGGGAGGAGUCAGGCUGCCCAAAGGUCAGGGCAGGCAGCGAGAAAGAGUGGUCAGGAGGGAUGUUUGAGUCAGAAAUAAAUCAGAAGAGAGACAAGUCAGGAAAAUCACAAGGCAUUAGGAACCAGGAAUAG